AGUGAACGCUGGCGGCAGGCCUAACACAUGCAAGUCGAGCGGCAGCGGGUCCCCGCGAGGGGAUGCCGGCGAGCGGCGGACGGGUGAGGAACACAUCGGAAUCUGCCUGGUUGUGGAGGAUAACGUAGGGAAACUUACGCUAAUACCGCAUGCGACCCUGAGUCGACGGACUGGGGGUGAAAGUGAGGGACCUUCGGGCCUCACGCGACCAGAUGAGCCGAUGUCGGAUAGCUAGUUGGCGGGGUAACGGCCCGCCAAGGCGACGAUCCGUAGCUGGUCUGAGAGGAUGAUCAGCCACACUGGGACUGAGACACGGCCCAGACUCCUACGGGAGG
rnacentral:rRNA from 1 species